GGACCUGACUGCUAUCGGAUUGAUACUAAGCCAUGCGAGUCAUUGUAGCAAUACAAGGCAUACGGCUCAGUAACGCGUAGUCAACCUAACCUAUGGACGGGAAUAACCUCGGGAAACUGAGAAUAAUGCCCGAUAGAACAUUAUGCCUGGAAUGGUUUAUGUUCCAAAUGAUUUAUCGCCGUAGGAUGGGACUGCGGCCUAUCAGUUUGUUGGUGAGGUAAUGGCCCACCAAGACUAUUACAGGUACGGGCUCUGAGAGGAGUAGCCCGGAGAUGGGUACUGAGACACGGACCCAGGCCCUAUGGGGCGCAGCAGGCGAGAAAACUUUGCAAUGUGCGAAAGCACGACAAGGUUAAUCCGAGUGGUUUCUGCUGAAGAAACCUUUUGUCGAGUCCUAGAAACACUGAUGAAUAAGGGGUGGGCGAGUUCUGGUGU
rnacentral:rRNA from 1 species